AGAGUUUGAUCCUGGCUCAGGAUGAACGCUGGCGGCAUGCCUAAUACAUGCAAGUCGAACGAGAGGAAGGAAAGCUUGCUUUCCUGAAUCUAGUGGCGAACGGGUGAGUAACACGUAGGUAACCUGCCCAUGUGCCCGGGAUAACUUCUGGAAACGGAUGCUAAAACCGGAUAGGUAGCAGACAAGCAUUUGACUGCUAUUAAAGUGGCCUUGGCCAUGAACAUGGAUGGACCUGCGGUGCAUUAGCUGGUUGGUGAGGUAACGGCCCACCAAGGCGACGAUGCAUAGCCGGCCUGAGAGGGCGGACGGCCACAUUGGGACUGAGACACGGCCCAAACUCCUACGGGAGGCAGCAGUAGGGAAUUUUCGUCAAUGGGGGGAACCCUGAACGAGCAAUGCCGCGUGAGUGAGGAAGGUCUUCGGAUUGUAAAGCUCUGUUGUAAGAGAAAAACGGCACUCAUAGGGAAUGAUGAGUGAGUGAUGGUAUCUUACCAGAAAGUCACGGCUAACUACGUGCCAGCAGCCGCGGUAAUACGUAGGUGGCGAGCGUUAUCCGGAAUGAUUGGGCGUAAAGGGUGCGUAGGUGGCAGAUCAAGUCUGGAGUAAAAGGUAUGGGCUCAACCCGUACUGGCUCUGGAAACUGAUCAGCUAGAGAACAGAAGAGGACGGCGGAACUCCAUGUGUAGCGGUAAAAUGCGUAGAUAUAUGGAAGAACACCGGUGGCGAAGGCGGCCGUCUGGUCUGGAUUCUGACACUGAAGCACGAAAGCGUGGGGAGCAAAUAGGAUUAGAUACCCUAGUAGUCCACGCCGUAAACGAUGAGAACUAGGUGUUGGGGGAAUAACUCAGUGCCGCAGUUAACGCAGUAAGUUCUCCGCCUGGGGAGUAUGCACGCAAGUGUGAAACUCAAAGGAAUUGACGGGGGCCCGCACAAGCGGUGGAGUAUGUGGUUUAAUUCGAAGCAACGCGAAGAACCUUACCAGGCCUUGACAUCCCUUGCAGAGGUAUAGAGAUAUAUCCGAGGUUAUCAAGGAGACAGGUGGUGCAUGGUUGUCGUCAGCUCGUGUCGUGAGAUGUUGGGUU
rnacentral:rRNA from 1 species